CACCUAGAGAACAGAUGUGCAGAGAAGCAAAGUGACUUUUCCUCCUCGUUCCUCCAAGGCUUUCCUCACUAUUCAGGGUUCCUCAGCAAACAUGGAGCAUGGAGCACCUAGUAGGUGACGGGCACUGUCAGGCACAGAGCAGGCUGCCCUGUUUCUCAAGGAUCUGGUCCAGGGGAGACAGGUGAUACUACUGGUGUAAUUUAGGGCAGAAUCUGUCAAGGGCCCUGACAAGCAGAGUGAAGUGUUGAGGGAGUUGUUGUGUCUGCUGGGCCUUGAAAGAUCAGUAGGAUUUUGCCAUAUUGAGAAAAAGUUGGCCGGCAUUCUAGGCAAGGUCGUGGAAGCCCGAAAGGGAGACUCCUAACUGGGGCAAAAUGAACGGUAAGCAUUUCAGAAGAAAAAGCACCCAGCUCACCAUCCAAAUGCCACCGUCCAAUGGACAAAGAGGACGACCCAGAGAUCGGGAAGAUACAGGUCACUGAAUCCAAGGCCACCUGUGGAGGGAAGAGUUGAGAUGUCAGUGAGAACCUCCAGAACUUCCAGAAGGAAGUGGCCCUGCUGACUGACACCUUGACUUUGGCCCCAGUGAAGCUGAUCUGGCACUUCUGGCCUUCGGAAGUGUAACAGACUAGACCGGCAUCAUUUGAAGUCCCUGAGUUUGUGAUGCUAAUCUCAGUUUUAUGAGUAACAAGUUGGACAAAUCACAGACACCUGGGUACUUCACCUUCUAAGAUUAGUGACCGCUCAGGGCCCAUCAGACGCAAUCGUUACCAACGCCUUUGACCCUGAGGCUCUGCUGUUGGAGGUCCUCCGUUCGACUAGACAACGUUCGUACUCUCCUAACUCAAUCAUGGGCUCAAGGCCUCAAUGACAGGGUCCCUCACUGGUCGUAACUGCCAUGUGACUGGCCGGCUGCCCGGAAUCCUGCUUUGUUUUCACUCUCAACACCUUUGCCAACUCGUCUCGGCCGUAAGCUCCCAGGAACCAUUCCUGAUCAUCUCUGUAUAACCACCACCCUGUCCUGUCCAGCCCCGCCAUGCCUGUCAGCUCUUCGCAGUGAGUCCAAAGCCACUGGGGCAGGGUUAAGAGCAGAACCUAUGGCAGCGACUGACUAGUCAUCACCAGAUUGACUCAGGGUCAAAUUUGGCGGCCUCUUCCUUAGCGGUCAGCUUAGCAGUGAAGGUCUGGCACAUGCUUCCAUAGCACGUGCUUCAAUAAGUGGCUAACGAAGAAAUGAAUAAAAGAGCUAUUUCAACAUA